AUCAAGUCCAUAUUUUUGAUUAGAUCAAAUAAAUCUUGAUUGUGGCUCAAUGGUUAAACCUGAAUCAUUAGGCUGGUCAAAGAAACUAGUUAAUCAAUUAGUGUCUAAGGUAAGUUUGGUAUUUCGAUUGAUGAUUUUUAAUUGGAAGCGACUUAUCUAGCGAUUUCGAUGGUGUCUAAGGUAAGCUUAGCAGACCCCCCCCCCCCGAUCUCACUUACCUAGCCAAUUUGAUGAAUUAUGUCUUGAUUAGAUCGCUAAGUGACUUGAGUUGAUCCAUGCCAUUA
rnacentral:lncRNA from 1 species